rnacentral:rRNA from 1 species
UUGCAAAGGUUACAUAAUAAUUAGUUUAUUAAUUGUAAAAUUGUAUGAAAGAAUAAAUAAGGGUUUAAUUGUCUCAAUUUUCCAACUGAACUUUAUUUCUUUAUUAAAAAGUUAAGAUUUACUUAAGGGACGAGAAGACCCUGUAAAUCUUAACUUUUUAAUAAAGAAAUAAAGUUCAGUUGGGGCGACUAAUGAAAAUAAUAAACUUCAUUAAUUUAAUAAUUUUUUAUAAAAAAUUAUUAAAUGAUCCUUUAUAGAGAUUAAUAGUAAAAGUUACUUCAGGGAUAACAGCGUAAUUGUUUUAUAGAGUUCUUAUCAACAAAAAAGNUUGUGACCUCGAUGUUGGAUUAAAU